UGGGGAAUUUUGGACAAUGGGGGAAACCCUGAUCCAGCCAUCCCGCGUGUGCGAUGAAGGCCUUCGGGUUGUAAAGCACUUUUGGCAGGAAAGAAACGUCAUGGGUUAAUACCCCGUGAAACUGACGGUACCUGCAGAAUAAGCACCGGCUAACUACGUGCCAGCAGCCGCGGUAAUACGUAGGGUGAAAGCGUUAAUCGGAAUUACUGGGCGUAAAGCGUGCGCAGGCGGUUCGGAAAGAAAGAUGUGAAAUCCCAGAGCUCAACUUUGGAACUGCAUUUUUAACUACCGGGCUAGAGUGUGUCAGAGGGAGGUGGAAUUCCGCGUGUAGCAGUGAAAUGCGUAGAUAUGCGGAGGAACACCGAUGGCGAAGGCAGCCUCCUGGGAUAACACUGACGCUCAUGCACGAAAGCGUGGGGAGCAAACAGG
rnacentral:rRNA from 1 species